AAAAAAAGAAAUUCUGCCAUUUGCAACAACAUGAAUGGACCUGUGAAAUAAGCCAGACACAGAGCGAGAAAUAUUGCAUGAUCUCAUUUAUAUGUAGAAUCUAAAAUAGUCAAACCUGCAAAAUCAGAGAGUAGAAUGGAGGUUGCUAAGGACUGGGAGUAGUGGGUGACGGGGAGCUGUUGGUUAAGGGGCACAAAGUUUCAGUUAUGCAAGAUGAAAGCGUGCUGGAGAUCUAAUGUAUAGCACGGUGACUAUAGACAAUGAUACUGUACUAUAGUCAUCCCUGGGUAUCUGCCUGGGAUUUGUUUCAGGACCCCCACAGACAUCAAAAUCCACACAUAUUCAAGUCUCGAGGUGGGCCCUGUGAAACCCACCUCUAGGAGAAGUUAGUCCUCCAUAUAUGUGGAUUUCGCAUCCCACAAACACUAUUUUUGAUAUGCCCUUGGUUGUAGAUGUGGAUGUGGAUAUGAAGGAAUUGUAUUUACUGAAAAAAAGCUGCGUAUAAGUGGACCACACAGUUCAAACCCAUGUUGCUCAAGGGUCAACCGUAUAUACUUGAAAUUUUCUAAGAUCCUAAGUGUUCUCACCCCCACGCCCCACCGCCCGACACACACACAUAUAACUAUGUGAGGUGAU
rnacentral:lncRNA from 10 species